GAUGAACGCUGGCGGCGUGCCUAAUACAUGCAAGUCGAGCGAACGGACGAGAAGCUUGCUUCUCUGAUGUUAGCGGCGGACGGGUGAGUAACACGUGGAUAACCUACCUAUAAGACUGGGAUAACUUCGGGAAACCGGAGCUAAUACCGGAUAAUAUUUUGAACCGCAUGGUUCAAAAGUGAAAGACGGUCUUGCUGUCACUUAUAGAUGGAUCCGCGCUGCAUUAGCUAGUUGGUAAGGUAACGGCUUACCAAGGCAACGAUGCAUAGCCGACCUGAGAGGGUGAUCGGCCACACUGGAACUGAGACACGGUCCAGACUCCUACGGGAGGCAGCAGUAGGGAAUCUUCCGCAAUGGGCGAAAGCCUGACGGAGCAACGCCGCGUGAGUGAUGAAGGUCUUCGGAUCGUAAAACUCUGUUAUUAGGGAAGAACAUAUGUGUAAGUAACUGUGCACAUCUUGACGGUACCUAAUCAGAAAGCCACGGCUAACUACGUGCCAGCAGCCGCGGUAAUACGUAGGUGGCAAGCGUUAUCCGGAAUUAUUGGGCGUAAAGCGCGCGUAGCGGUUUUUUAAGUCUGAUGUGAAAGCCCGCGGCUCAACCGUGGAGGGUCAUUGGAAACUGGAAAACUUGAGUGCAGAAGAGGAAAGUGGAAUUCCAUGUGUAGCGGUGAAAUGCGCAGAGAUAUGGAGGAACACCAGUGGCGAAGGCGACUUUCUGGUCUGUAACUGACGCUGAUGUGCGAAAGCGUGGGGAUCAAACAGGAUUAGAUACCCUGGUAGUCCACGCCGUAAACGAUGAGUGCUAAGUGUUAGGGGGUUUCCGCCCCUUAGUGCUGCAGCUAACGCAUUAAGCACUCCGCCUGGGGAGUACGACCGCAAGGUUGAAACUCAAAGGAAUUGACGGGGACCCGCACAAGCGGUGGAGCAUGUGGUUUAAUUCGAAGCAACGCGAAGAACCUUACCAAAUCUUGACAUCCUUUGACAACUCUAGAGAUAGAGCUUUCCCCUUCGGGGGACAAAGUGACAGGUGGUGCAUGGUUGUCGUCAGCUCGUGUCGUGAGAUGUUGGGUUAAGUCCCGCAACGAGCGCAACCCUUAAGCUUAGUUGCCAUCAUUAAGUUGGGCACUCUAAGUUGACUGCCGGUGACAAACCGGAGGAAGGUGGGGAUGACGUCAAAUCAUCAUGCCCCUUAUGAUUUGGGCUACACACGUGCUACAAUGGACAAUACAAAGGGCAGCGAAACCGUGAGGUCAAGCAAAUCCCAUAAAGUUGUUCUCAGUUCGGAUUGUAGUCUGCAACUCGACUACAUGAAGCUGGAAUCGCUAGUAAUCGUAGAUCAGCAUGCUACGGUGAAUACGUUCCCGGGUCU
rnacentral:rRNA from 1 species